rnacentral:lncRNA from 1 species
CCACACUUACUAGAACUUGUGACAACCUGUACAUUGUAUUUAUUCAAUCACUUUACCUUCGUUCUUAUCGUCUUUGUAAUCAUUACUGUACUGUACUGUGACCAUUAGGCUGCCUCCAGUACAUAUCAACUGGGAUCGACCCAUGCUAGGCUUAUGCCCCUGGGAUACCACCCAUAAACACAUAAAUAGGGAUCGACCCAUGCUAGGCUUAUGCCCCUGGGAUACCACCCGAUAAGAGAGAACUCCCAUCACUUAGUUCAAUUAAUCUUUGAGAUUGUUAUUUCGGUUGCCUCCACAUUUUUAAUACUUUGAAACAAUGAUACAUCAAUAGGAACCAAGUAAUAGACCUUCUAUACAAUAACGAUGUAAUAAAGACUCAUUGGUACAUCAACAAUGUGUUUCAGAAUCAUCAAUAUCACAACAAUGAAAUAAGAGCCUUUUGGUAUAUCAAUGAACAUUUUGACACUUUAUAGGAUGGAAACAACUUCGUUGGUAACGUAGAACAAUACAUGUUUUUGGACAACCUCGGAAUCUUACUUGAUGGAACAUUGGUGUUUUCAUGCCAAAGAACAUUGUUAGAGUAUGCUUUACAUACCUCGUUGUAGAU